GAGUUUGAUCAUGGCUCAGAUUGAACGCUGGCGGCAUGCCUUACACAUGCAAGUCGAACGGCAGCACGGGUGCUUGCACCUGGUGGCGAGUGGCGAACGGGUGAGUAAUGUAUCGGAACGUACCAUUCAGUGGGGGAUAACUAUCCGAAAGGAUAGCUAAUACCGCAUAUUCUGUGAGCAGGAAAGCAGGGGAUCGCAAGACCUUGCGCUGAUUGAGCGGCCGAUAUCAGAUUAGCUAGUUGGUGGGGUAAAAGCCUACCAAGGCGACGAUCUGUAGCGGGUCUGAGAGGAUGAUCCGCCACACUGGAACUGAGACACGGUCCAGACUCCUACGGGAGGCAGCAGUGGGGAAUUUUGGACAAUGGGCGAAAGCCUGAUCCAGCCAUGCCGCGUGAGUGAAGAAGGCCUUCGGGUUGUAAAGCUCUUUCGGCCGGGAAGAAAUCGCACAGGCUAAUACCCUGUGUGGAUGACGGUACCGGAAUAAGAAGCACCGGCUAACUACGUGCCAGCAGCCGCGGUAAUACGUAGGGUGCGAGCGUUAAUCGGAAUUACUGGGCGUAAAGCGUGCGCAGGCGGUUUUUUAAGACAGGCGUGAAAUCCCCGGGCUUAACCUGGGAACUGCGCUUGUGACUGGAAGGCUAGAGUACGGCA
rnacentral:rRNA from 1 species